rnacentral:rRNA from 1 species
AAUAAGCGGAGGAAAAGAAACUAACAAGGAUUCCCCUAGUAACUGCGAGUGAAGCGGGAAAAGCUCAAAUUUAAAAUCUGGCGGUCAUUCUGGCCGUCCGAGUUGUAAUCUAGAGAAGUGUUAUCCGCGCUGGACCGUAUACAAGUCUCCUGGAAUGGGGCGUCAUAGAGGGUGAGAAUCCCGUCUUUGAUACGGACUGCCAGGGCUUAUGUGAUGCGCUCUCAAAGAGUCGAGUUGUUUGGGAAUGCAGCUCAAAAUGGGUGGUAAAUUCCAUCUAAAGCUAAAUAUUGGCGAGAGACCGAUAGCGAACAAGUACCGUGAGGGAAAGAUGAAAAGAACUUUGGAAAGAGAGUUAAACAGUACGUGAAAUUGUUGAAAGGGAAACGCUUGAAGUCAGUCGCGUUGGCCAGGGAUCAACCCCUUGGGGUGUACUUUCUGGUUUUACGGGUCAACAUCAGUUUUGAUUGUUGGAUAAAGGUUUAGGGAAUGUGGCAUCUUCGGAUGUGUUAUAGCCCUUGGCCAUAUACAACAGUUGGGACUGAGGAACUCAGCAUGCUCGAAAGAGUCGGGUUAGCUUUGGUUAACUACGUUUACAUGCUUAGGAUGUUGGCAUAAUGGCUUUAAUCGACCCGUCUUGAAACACGGACCAAGGAGUCUAACAUGCCUGCGAGUAUUUGGGUGGAAAACUCGAAUGCGCAAUGAAAGUGAUAGUUGAGAUCCCUGUCGCGGGGAGCAUCGACGCCCGGACCAGACGGUUUAUUCCUGACGGUCCCGCGGUAGAGCAUGUAUGUUGGGACCCGAAAGAUGGUGAACUAUGCCUGAAUAGGGUGAAGCCAGAGGAAACUCUGGUGGAAGGCUCGUAGCGAUUCUGACGUGCAAAUCGAUCGUCGAAUUUGGGUAUAGGG